CCGGGAACUGGGUAUAAUUCCCGAUAGAUCUGAGAGGCUGGAAUGCACUCUGAUCGAAAGCUCCGGCACCCAAGGAUGGGUCUGCGGCCUAUCAGGUUGUAGUGGGUGUAAUGUACCUACUAGCCUACUACGGGUACGGGUUGUGAGAGCAAGAGCCCGGAGAUGGAUUCUGAGACACGAAUCCAGGCCCUACGGGGUGCAGCAGGCGCGAAACCUUUACAAUGCGGGCAACCGCGAUAAGGGGACCUCGAGUGCCGGCAUACAAUGUCGGCUGUCGUGAUGCCUAAAAAGCAUUAUAUAGCAAGGGCCGGGCAAGACCGGUGCCAGCCGCCGCGGUAACACCGGCGGCUCGAGUGGUGACCGCUAUUAUUGGGUUUAAAGGGUCUGUAGCCGGCCGGAUAAGUCUCUUGGGAAAUCUGGCCGCUUAACGGUCAGGCUUUCAGGAGAUACUGUCUGGCUCGAGGCCGGGAGAGGUGAGAGGUACUUCAGGGGUAGGGGUGAAAUCUUGUAAUCCUUGGAGGACCCCCAGUGGCGAAGGCGUCUCACCAAAACGGACCUGACGGCAAGGGACGAAAGCUAGGGGCACGAACCGGAUUAGAUACCCGGGUAGUCCUAGCCGUAAACGAUACUCGCUAGGUGUCGGCCGCGGUGCGACCGUGGUCGGUGCCGUAGGGAAACCGUGAAGCGAGCCACCUGGGAAGUACGGCCGCAAGGCUGAAACUUAAAGGAAUUGGCGGGGGAGCACCACAACGGGUGGAGCGUGCGGUUUAAUUGGAUUCAACGCCGGGAAGCUUACCGGGAU
rnacentral:rRNA from 1 species